GGGUGCCGUCCGUGGUGCGGGUGACGUCCGUGGUGCGGGUGACGUCCGUGAUGUGGGUGAUGUCCGUGGUGCAAAUGACGUCCGUGGUGUGGGUGACGUCCGUGGUGCAGGUGACGUCCGUGGUGCAGGUGACGUCCGUGAUGUGGGUGACGUCCGUGGUGCGGGUGCCGUCCGUGGUGUGGGUGACGUCCGUGAUGUGGGUGACGUCCGUGGUGCGGGUGACAUCCGUGGUGCGGGUGACGUCCGUGGUGUGGGUGACGUCCAUGGUGCGGGUGACGUCCGUGGUGCGGGUGACGUCCGUGGUGCGGGUGUCGUCCAUGGUGCGGGUGACGUCCGUGGUGUGGGUGAGGUCCGUGGUGUGGGUGACGUCUGUGGUGCGGGUGACAUCCGUGGUGCGGGUGACGUCCGUGAUGUGGGUGACGUCCGUGGUGCGAAUGACGUCCGUGGUAUGGGUGCCGUCCGUAGUGUGGGUGACAUCCGUGGUGCGGGUGCCGUCUGUGGUGCGGGUGCCGUCCGUGGUGCGUGUGUCGUCCGUGGUGCGGGUGACGUCCGUGGUGCGGGUGACAUCCGUGGUGCGGGUGAUGUCCGUGGUGCGGGUGCCGUCCGUGGUGCGGUUGACGUCUGUGGUGCGGAUGACGUCCGUGGUGCGGGUGACGUCCGUGGUGCGGGUGACGUCCGUGAUGUGAGUGCCGUCCAUAGUGUGGGUGACAUCCGUGGUGCGGGUGCCGUCCAUGGUGUGGGUGACGUCCGUGAUGCGGGUGACGUCCGUGGUGCGGGUGACGUCCGUGGUGCGGGUGACGUCUGUGGUGCGGGUGACGUCCGUGGUGCGGGUGACGUCCGUGGUGCAGGUGACGUCCGUGGUGCAGGUGCCGUCCGUGGUGCGGGUGACGUCCAUGGUGCGAGUGACGUCCGUGAUGUGGGUGCCGUCCGUGGUGCCAGUGACGUCCAUGGUGCGGGUGACGUCCGUGGUGUGGGUGACGUCCGUGGUGCGAGUGACGUCCGUGGUGCGGGUGCCGUCCAUGGUGCGAGUGACGUCCGUGGUGCGGGGGACGUCCGUGAUGCGGGUGACGUCCAUGGUGCAGGUGACGUCCAUGGUGCAGGUGACGUCCGUGAUGCGGGUGACGUCCGUGGUGCGGGUGACGUCCGUGGUGCGGGUGAUGUCCGUAGUGUGGGUGACGUCCGUGGUGCAGGUGACGUCCGUGGUGCGGGUAACAUCCGUGAUGCGGCUGACGUCCGUGGUGCCAGUGAUGUCCGUGGUGCGGGUGACGUCCGUGGUGCGGGUGACGUCCGUGGUGCGAGUGACGUCCUUGGUGCAGGUGACGUCCGUGGUGCAGGUGACGUCCGUGGUGCGGGUGCCGUCCGUGGUGCAGGUGACGUCCGUGAUGCGGGUGCCGUCCGUGGUGCGGGUGACGUCCGUGGUGCGAGUGACGUCCAUGGUGCGGGUGACGUCCGUGAUGCGGGUGACGUCCGUGGUGCGAGUGAUGUCCGUGGUGCGGGUGACGUCCAUGGUGCGGGUGACGUCCGUGGUGCGGGUGAUGUCCGUGGUGCAGGUGACGUCCGUGGUGUGAGUGACGUCCGUGGUGCGAGUGACGUCCGUGGUGCGGCUGACGUCCGUGGUGCAGGUGACGUCCGUGGUGCAAGUGACGUCGGCGGUGCGGGUGACGUCCGUGGUGCGGGUGACGUCCGUGGUGCGGGUGACGUCCGUGGUGCGGGUG
rnacentral:lncRNA from 1 species